UACGGAGGGUGCAAGCGUUAAUCGGAAUUACUGGGCGUAAAGGGUGCGUAGGUGGUUAAGUAAGAUAUCUGUGAAAUACCCGGGCUUAACCUGGGCAAGUCAGAUAAGACUGCUAGACUAGAGUAGAGUAGAGGGUAGUGGAAUUUCCGGUGUAGCGGUGAAAUGCGUAGAGAUCGGAAGGAACACCAGUGGCGAAGGCGGCUACCUGGGCUACUACUGACACUGAGGCACGAAAGCGUGGGGAGCAAACAGG
rnacentral:rRNA from 1 species